AUACGUAGGUGGCGAGCGUUGUCCGGAAUUACUGGGUGUAAAGGGAGCGUAGGCGGGGGUUUAAGUUGGAUGUGAAAUACCGCGGCUCAACCGCGGGGCUGCAUCCAAAACUGGAUCUCUUGAGUGAAGUAGAGGCAAGCGGAAUUCCUAGUGUAGCGGUGAAAUGCGUAGAUAUUAGGAGGAACACCAGUGGCGAAGGCGGCUUGCUGGGCUUUUACUGACGCUGAGGCUCGAAAGCGUGGGGAGC
rnacentral:rRNA from 1 species